GACGAACGCUGGCGGCGUGCUUAACACAUGCAAGUCGAACGGAAAGGCCCUGCUUUUGUGGGGUGCUCGAGUGGCGAACGGGUGAGUAACACGUGAGUAACCUGCCCUUGACUUUGGGAUAACUUCAGGAAACUGGGGCUAAUACCGGAUAGGAGCUCCUGCUGCAUGGUGGGGGUUGGAAAGUUUCGGCGGUUGGGGCUGGACUCGCGGCUUAUCAGCUUGUUGGUGGGGUAGUGGCUUACCAAGGCUUUGACGGGUAGCCGGCCUGAGAGGGUGACCGGCCACAUUGGGACUGAGAGACGGCCCAGACUCCUACGGGAGGCAGCAGUGGGGAAUAUUGCACAAUGGGCGGAAGCCUGAUGCAGCAACGCCGCGUUCGGGAUGACGUCCUUCGGGUUGUAAACCGCUUUCUCCUGUGACGAAGCGUGAGUGACGGUAAUGGGUAAAGAAGCACCGGCUAACUACGUG
rnacentral:rRNA from 1 species